GAGUACUGGGGAGCAGCAGCGGCGACUGCAGCAGUACAAGCAGCAAUUUAUCCAUGUGCAGCCACAAACCGGGAAGAGGAUGCUAAUUAAAGUGAAGGUGCUGACCAGAAAGCAGAUUGACAUUGACAUUGAACCCAUACACAAGGUAGAGCAAAUCAAGGAGUGUGCGGAGGAGAAAGAGGGACUCCACCCACAACAGCAGCGGUUCAUCUACAGUGGCAAACAGAUGAAUGAUAAGAAGACAGCAGCUGAUUACAAGAUCCUAGGUGGUUCAGUCCUUCACGUGAUGUUGGCUCUGAGAGGAGAAGGUGGUCUUAGGCAGUGAUGGAGCCUCCCUCCAUGUUACCUCCUUACCCUGUCACUCAUAAUGAGGCACCAUAUAUCUUCUCACUUUCUGGGACACCAGAGCUGCUGCCCCCUCCCCUGGAUGCCCAAUCUUGUGCAUCUACUGGUGGGAGACUAUGAAGACCCCAGGAUGCAGUGUUCCUGGCCCAAAGGGCACUUGCUGGCUAUUUGGUUUUAGUUUGCAGUCUUGUGUGCAUCCCUGUCUUAUGGCUAUGUUCCUGGUUGUCAAUAAAAUAUUUCCUGGC